UAAAUUCCUAUUUUUGGUUAGCUCAGCUCCUUGGCUCUUACUCAAAAUCAUAAAUUAAACACAAUGCUUUGUCCCUCCAAACGAUACGUCCAUAGACAACGUGACCCAAGUAAAAACAAUAAUCACGUACAGCAUUUGGAAAAUAUAUUUGCUCACAGAGGAAAUCUUAUCACAAUGAUACGCUUCUACGCCGGACACGAGUGUCUGUGGAACAGAAGGCAUGCCGAAUACCCUAACCUAAGAAAAAGAAAUCAACUAUGGAGCUGGAUAGGGAAACAGUUUGGUCCGGGCGUGUCGGGAUCUGAAGUGGAAUGUGUUAUGAAUGGCUUGUCCACGCAAGCCUUGGACGAGUUUGCACGAAUUGAAGAAUGUAAAAUGAGAGGUGGUCUCUGUGGCAAGCCGUCCUUUGACCUUCUGGAAGAGUUUCAGUUCUUGUUGCGGGAGAAAGUGAAUGUUGAGAGUCAGGCUCCGACUCCUGCCUAUGACAUGAAACCCAGUCUCACAGAGCCUGCUUUUAUUGCAUUGGAAGACUCUGAAGGACUCCAACACUCUGACAAAGUCAGCAAUCCCGAUGUGGAUGCUUUUAUUGCCGCCGAUGAUGGCUCGUGCGAAGGUACCGAUGCCGAUUUGGAUGAAUUCUGCAAUGAACUAAGACAAGAACUGGGCCAGCUUCGUCCAGAUGAUUGCUUGAAGGCACAAAAGAAGAUCCUUUUAAUCAUGCACGAGGCCCGACUAAAGCGUAAACCUGCUAAAAUCAAACCCAUUUUAAAGAAAUUCGUCCACUGGAAACCCUAGACUUAGAAAACCUGUACAUGUGUAUGUGCAGAUUUGACAGAUUACAGUUUCAAAAUUGAUUUUGUGGAAAUUUGUUGUCAUGUCAAGCUCAAGCUUCAUUGGAUUAAUCAAAAAGAAUUAUCACAGCUUGGUGAACAUAUUCUCCUCCGAUUCGGACUCGGCUUCUUCGCCUCGGCGUCUGAAUGCGUUCAAUGUGAAAUUCAGUGGAAGAGCCAAGUUCCAUACAAUACUGUCGCAGAAGGAUACGGUGACCAAGCUGAUACAUCUAUAUCGUCAGAAUGAAUGCCUCUGGAAUCCGAGUUGUCCGGACUACAAGAGUGCCGAGUACCAGGAGAAGGUUUGGAAGGACAUUGCCUCGGCCAUAGAUACAAAUAUGCCGGUUGUUCCCGUCAAACGAAAAGUGCACGUUCUGCGUGAUCAAUGGGAAGCAGCCAAGAAGUUUCCGAUGCCCAAAUUCUUUGAUUAUCCAGACUUUGGUUUCCUCAGUCAGGCGGCGGCUGCCGUCGAAGAGCAGGUGGUGGAACCAGAUCGCAUGGAUUCAGGCAGUGAGCAAACUGUACAGGCAGAUGAGGCUGGGGCGGAACUUUCAUCAGACUAUGUAAUAGCGAAUAAAGCCCAGCAUAUUGCAAAUCUUUGCGAGGUAAUUCGAAUUGAUUUGGAGCAAAUCCAAGAUGAAUUUUUUUUCGAGGCAAAGUGGAAAAUCCUUGAUGUACUACGCGAUGCACAGUUAAAACAGAUGCAACGGCUGCAGGAGAGCCAAAAACAAAAAUCAGAUGAUGCAGAUUCAACAACUCUAUAGAAACAAAUGAAAUAUAUAAAAAAAUUAAAUGAAUCAGUGUUUCCAUUGUA